AUCACUUCUCAGCCUUUUGGCUAAGAUCAAGUGUAGUAUCAAAUAGUGGAUUAAAAUGAAUAAUUGAUAAUUU
rnacentral:snRNA from 1 species